CUACGGGCGGCUCCAGUGGGGAAUAUUGCACAAUGGAGGAAACUCUGAUGCAGCAACGCCGCGUGGAGGAUGACACUUUUCGGAGCGUAAACUCCUUUCAUAUAGGAAGAAGAUGACGGUACUAUAUGAAUAAGCGCCGGCUAACUCCGUCCAGCAGCCGCGGUAAUACGGAGGGCGCAAGCGUUACUCGGAAUCACUGGGCGUAAAGAGCGUGUAGGCGGAUUAAAAAGUCAGAAGUGAAAUCCUAUAGCUUAACUAUAGAACUGCUUCUGAAACUCUUAAUCUAGAAUAUGGGAGAGGUAGAUGGAAUUUCUGGUGUAGGGGUAAAAUCCGUAGAGAUCAGAAGGAAUACCGAUUGCGAAGGCGAUCUACUAGAACAUUAUUGACGCUGAGACGCGAAAGCGUGGGGAGCAAACAGGAUUAGAUACCCGAGUAGUC
rnacentral:rRNA from 1 species